GCUGGGUGUGGUGGUGUGCACCUGUAAUCCCAGCUACUCAGGAGGCUGAGGCAGGAGAAUCACUUGAACCCAGGAGGUGGAGGUUGCAGUGAGAUGAGAUCAUGCCACUGCACUCCAGCCUGGGCAACAGAGUGAGAUUCUGUCUCAA
ensembl:misc_RNA Metazoa_SRP Metazoan signal recognition particle RNA